AACGAACGCUGGCGGCAUGCCUAACACAUGCAAGUCGAGCGAGACCUUCGGGGCUAGUGGCGCACGGGUGCGUAACGCGUGGGAACCUGCCCUUAGGUUCGGAAUAACUCCCCGAAAGGGGUGCUAAUACCGGAUAAUGUCUUCGGACCAAAGAUUUAUCGCCUUUGGAUGGGCCCGCGUUGGAUUAGCUAGUUGGUAGGGUAAAAGCCUACCAAGGCGACGAUCCAUAGCCGGUCUGAGAGGAUGAUCAGCCACACUGGGACUGAGACACGGCCCAGACUCCUACGGGAGGCAGCAGUGGGGAAUAUUGGACAAUGGGCGAAAGCCUGAUCCAGCAAUGCCGCGUGAGUGAUGAAGGCCUUAGGGUUGUAAAGCUCUUUUACCCGGGAUGAUAAUGACAGUACCGGGAGAAUAAGCUCCGGCUAACUCCGUG
rnacentral:rRNA from 1 species